GCGGGCGGUGUCAGUAUACACCGAGAGGGAGGGGGCCACCAUCUUUACUGCGGGCGGUGUCGGUAUACACCGAGAGGGAGGGGGCCGACAUCUUUACUGCGGGCGCUGUCGGUAUACACCGAGAGGAAGGGGGCCUCCAUCUUUACUGCGGGCGGUGUCAGUAUACACGGAGAGGGUGGGGGCCGCCAUCUUUACUGCGGGCAGUAUCGGUAUACACCGAGAGGGAGGCGGCCGCCAUCUUUACUGCGGGCGGUGUCGGUAUACACCUAGAGGGAGGGGGCCGCCAUCUUUACUGCGGGCGGUGUCUGUAUACACCGAGAGGGAGGGGGCCGCCAUCUUUACUGCGGGCGGUGUCUGUAUACACCGAGAGGGAGGGGGCCGCCAUCUUUACUGCGGGCGGUGUCUGUAUACACCGAGAGGGAGGGGGCCGCCAUCUUUACUGCGGGCGGUGUCGGUAUACACAGAGAGGGAGGGGGCCGCCAUCUUUACUCCAUAAAGCAUUGAUAUUGAAUCUCUCUUUAUCCCUUUGCAUGUAUCUCUUCCACUACCUGAAAAUAAGCACGGUAAUGGCCGCUGGAACGCAUAAUGAAAUGCUAGACUGGAAAUGACAUAUCGGCGUUCAACCCGGAAGGAACAUAGUAAAUAGUGUAAUUGCGAAUGAGGCUUGGUAUGCAUUGCCGCUUAAUUUCAAGCCAGAAACUAAUGAUUCCCCCAUUGGAGCGGUAUUUCUAGCAGGGAGUAGCCCAAGUAGAGCUGACAAAGACUUUUACCCAGCGUCCGUGGAACUGUUAGUAUUUAGACUCUGUUUCUGAACUAUUGCUGAAUAAGUGUAUUUAUAGUUUUUGUUUCUGGACUAUUGCUGAAUAAGUGUAUUUAUGGUUCUUAUCUGCCGUCACAUUCUAUGUUUCUAUGUUAUGUUUCAUUCAAGGAACAACAAUAUUGCACUAUAUGUGUUUCCUCUCACAAUAUUAUAUAGGACAGAAUACUCAGAAAAUUGACUGCAAAGAAGGGAAAGGGUCGCCUCAAUUGACCCUAAGGCAUAUAAAC